rnacentral:rRNA from 1 species
GACGGGGGGGGCAAGUGUUCUUCGGAAUGACUGGGCGUAAAGGGCACGUAGGCGGUGAAUCGGGUUGAAAGUGAAAGUCGCCAAAAAGUGGCGGAAUGCUCUCGAAACCAAUUCACUUGAGUGAGACAGAGGAGAGUGGAAUUUCGUGUGUAGGGGUGAAAUCCGUAAAUAUACGAAGGAACGCCAAAAGCGAAGGCAGCUCUCUGGGUCCCUAGCCGACGCUGGGGUGCGAAAGCAUGGGGAGCGAACAGG